UACAGAGGGGCAAGCGUUAUUCGGAAUUAUUGGGCGUAAAGGGCGCGUAGGCGGCCUGGCAAGUGGAAGGUGAAAUCCCUCGGCUUAACCGAGGAACUGCCCUCCAAACUGCUUGGCUUGAGUCCGGGAGAGGUGAGUGGAAUUCCCAGUGUAGCGGUGAAAUGCGUAGAUAUUGGGAGGAACACCAGUGGCGAAGGCGGCUCACUGGACCGGAACUGACGCUGAGGCGCGAAAGCGUGGGGAGCAAACGGG
rnacentral:rRNA from 1 species